UAAGGAAUAUUGGUCAAUGGACGCAAGUCUGAACCAGCCAUGCCGCGUGAAGGAUGAAGGUCCUCUGGAUUGUAAACUUCUUUUAUCUGGGACGAAAAAUGGGUAUUCUUACUCACUUGACGGUACCAGAGGAAUAAGCACCGGCUAACUCCGUGCCAGCAGCCGCGGUAAUACGGAGGGUGCAAGCGUUAUCCGGAUUCACUGGGUUUAAAGGGUGCGUAGGUGGGCAGGUAAGUCAGUGGUGAAAUCUUCGAGCUUAACUCGGAAACUGCCAUUGAUACUAUUUGUCUUGAAUUUCCUGGAGGUGAGCGGAAUAUGUCAUGUAGCGGUGAAAUGCUUAGAUAUGACAUAGAACACCAAUUGCGAAGGCAGCUCACUACGGGAAUAUUGACGCUGAGGC
rnacentral:rRNA from 1 species